GCUAGGUACGGUGGUGCACGCCUGUAAUCCCAGUGGUUUGGGAGGCUGAGGCAGGAGGAUCGCAAGUUCAAAGCCAGCCUUAGCCACUUAGCAAGGCCCUAAGCAACUCAAUGAGACCCUGUCUCUA
rnacentral:sRNA from 1 species